UUUUUUUGGUCUUUGUUGUAAUAGGGAUCGCUGGAAGCAUCUAACUACUCCACCAUCUUGGCCCCGCCUUACCCCAGAGCAACCUUAGAAAUUGUUUAGAGAUGGCAAGACUGUUGUCAUCCUGGGUACCUGGAUCACUGCAUUGAGAAAGCCCACCACAGUGACGGGCCUGUCACCUGUCCGUUGGUGAUUGAUCGAUCGUGGUCCAGCAUGCAGAAGUGAGUGUGUGGUGAAAAGCAGCAGAGCUGAUGAGUUGUGAAGACGUGUGUUUGAAGGCUGCCACACUCCCUACUCCAGGGAUCAGGAAUUAACUUGCAGCAACCCUCGAUGAAGAUUCUGUAGCAAUGGUAAAGACAUCUGCUCCCUCCAGGAUAUAAAGAGAUCCUGAGAGAUUCUGAAAGAUGGCUGAGAGCCUAAAAUUAAAAUCCUGGAUCCUUGCAUCCUGUCCUGCUGCAGGCCAC